UUUCUAUUGACAUUCUUGUCUAUUGGAUUGCUACCCAUUUGGUCAGAUCUUUUCAACUCUAAACUUUUAAUUUUGUACAUAGGAUUAGUCUCUUCAUCUUCUCCCCAUUUAGGUUUCUAUUGACAUUCUUGUCUAUUGGAUUGCUACCCAUUUGGUCAGAUCUUUUCAACUCUAAACUUUUAAUUUUGUACAUAGGAUUAGUCUCUUCAUCUUCUCCCCAUUUCUUUAAUUUCAAAAUCUCUCCCUCCCUUUUCAAAAACCUUCUUUGAUUGAACUUAUUUCGUUCUAAACUUUGACCACUUUUGCAAAAAAUAUAGAAACUUUGGCCUU
rnacentral:lncRNA from 1 species